CAAGAAAUUGCAGCAGGUAAGUUUGGAGUAUAGAAAGAGGAAAGAUGGUUUUAAGUGUUUAAGCAACUCUCCAAAGAUUACAAACUUUCAUGAGAAUAAGUGAAUUUUCUGGUUCAGAGAUUGCAGUUGAAAUCUGUUCCACCUUGUAGGCAAUUUGAUCCAUGCCGAACAGAAAUGUAAUAGAGGAACGGAAGGGCGCUAACUUAAGUCACGACUUGGAUUAAAUUGAGAAAUUCAGGUCUUGUUGUUAGAAAGUAUGGCUCCCAUCUCAUAAACAAUUCUGAAUCUGCAGCCUGCAAGCCCCAACCUGGGCCUGUCCUUGACUGAGUUUGUUCCCAUCAGAUACUCAUUGCAAAGCUUUUGGGGGACGUAGCACUUGUGUUCUAAGCGGGCUCUGAGAUAACUUACUGGGGUUCCACUAGUACCUUGUGAGCCAUUGCCACUCCCCCUCUAUGAUGACCUCGCCCAGGGCUAAGGGGAAAAAGCAGCAGGGCCCCCAUGGACCUAUCCAAAAGGAGAUUAAUCCAGGAUAAUAUACCCCCACAAUACACUUUCACAGCACACAUGCAUAAUACACCUGCAUAGAACACCAGCACAGUACACCCAC
rnacentral:lncRNA from 10 species